CCUACGGGUGGCAGCAGUGAGGAAUAUUGGUCAAUGGUCGGGAGACUGAACCAGCCAAGCCGCGUGAGGGAUGAAGGUACAGAGUAUCGUAAACCUCUUUUGUCAGGGAACAAAGGCGGGGACGCGUCCCCGGAUGAGUGUACCUGAAGAAAAAGCAUCGGCUAACUCCGUGCCAGCAGCCGCGGUAAUACGGAGGAUGCGAGCGUUAUCCGGAUUUAUGGGGUUUAAAGGGUGCGCAGGGGGUGUGUUAAGUCAGCGGUAAAAGCCCGGGGCUCAACCCCGACCCGCCGUUGAAACUGGCAGUCUCGAGUUGGGUAGAGGGAUGCGGAAUGCGCGGUGUAGCGGUGAAAUGCAUAGAUAUCGCGAAGAACUCCGAUUGCGAAGGCAGCAUGCCGGCUCCACACUGACGCUGAGGCACGAAAGCGUGGGUAUCGAACAGGAUUAGAUACCCGUGUAGUC
rnacentral:rRNA from 1 species